rnacentral:rRNA from 1 species
AGGGUUCGAUCUGGCUCAGGAUGGACGCUAGCGACAGGCUAACACAUGCAAGUCGAGGGGCAGCACGGGAGUAGCAAUACAACGUGGUGGCGACCGGCGCACGGGUGAGUAACGCGUAUGCAACCUACCUAUCAGAGGGGAAUAACCCGGCGAAAGUCGGACUAAUACCGCAUAAAACAGGGGCACCGCAUGGUGAUAUUUGUUAAAGAGAUUCGCUGAUAGAUGGGCAUGCGUUCCAUUAGGUAGUUGGUGAGGUAACGGCUCACCAAGCCGACGAUGGAUAGGGGAACUGAGAGGUUGGUCCCCCACACUGGUACUGAGACACGGACCAGACUCCUACGGGAGGCAGCAGUGAGGAAUAUUGGUCAAUGGGCGGGAGCCUGAACCAGCCAAGUCGCGUGAAGGAAGAAGGAUCUAUGGUUCGUAAACUUCUUUUGCAGGGGAAUAAAGUGCAGGACGUGUCCUGUUUUGUAUGUACCCUGAGAAUAAGGAUCGGCUAACUCCGUGCCAGCCGCCGC